rnacentral:lncRNA from 1 species
UAAUUAAUUAAAAGACUUUGCAUUUAAUUAUAAAAUAAUUAUAAUUAAUUUGCUCUUUAAAAUAUUCUUAUAUUUUCUUUAUAUAAUGAGUUUAAGUAUAUAUAUAUUUGCUGCAUAUUAUAUGUUAGCCCAAGUGGUAAGCGGGUGAACCCCAAACCUUUUGGUUUGGGGUUCAAAUCCUCUCGGCAGCAAGCAAAUGGGAGUGCACUGUAGCGCAUAUGACUUUCGUUGACCCACGUUGACCAUGCGAUAUAUCGGGGAAAAAUCGUCGAUUUAUCGACAAAUCACCGAUAUAUCGCGAGAAAUAGGUUAUUUCUCGCGAUAAAUUCCGAAAUAUCGUCGAACCGAUAUUUCUCCAUGAAAUAUCAUGUCGAAACCCUUCGAUACACGAUAUUUCGGCGAUAUAUCGCCAAAAUAUCGCGACAUUUUCUUCCUUGAGUACAUGUACAACUCUUAUUUGGCCUCAAGGAUGCUCAAAAUUGGUGGUUCUAAGUGAUACUAUUUUAUGGCUUCAAAGGCAAGUGCACAUUCACUUGUCCAACCAAACACUUUUGUUCCCCACAUAAUGUUGAAAAAAUGGCAAAGUUUAUCAAUGAAGCAUGCUAUGAAUCAUCCCAAGGCAGUUAAAUGGUCGAUCUAGCGCUACACCUCCUUCUUGAUGUUAAGAGUAAGGGAUUCUAGCACUGCUUUGACUUGGGUUGGAUUCACUUCUAUGCCCUUCUACGUUGCUAUAAAUUCGAGGAACUUACUCUGAAUACGCAUUUGAGCGAACUGAGUUUCAUGUCAUGCUUGUGCAUUAAUUUGAAUGCUUCUUCCAAGUGAUGAAGGUGCUCGAAACAAUUUUUACUUUUGAUGACAAUGUCAUCAAUAUAGACUUCCACUAUGAGACCUAUUAAAGGCUUAAAAAUGCGAGUCAUCAACCAUUGAUAGGUAGCACAAGCAUUCUUCAACCCAAAUGGCAUGACUUUGUAAUAAUACAACCCUUGUGGAGUAAUGAAUGCCGAUUUUUCUAUCCUCACCCCUUUAUCCCCUCCAAAAUUGUGUAGACUCCUCCAAAAAUCCUAAUCAUGUCUAUCUUCCUUUCUUAAUGAGAAUUCCUCCCAAAAAAAACUCUUUCAUUUCCUUCUCAAAUUUUCCAAGUUGUGAUCCUCAAUCUCAAAUCAUCCUCCCUAUCCAAAAGUCCUCUUAGUUGUGGACGCUCUCCUGCAAUAAAUGGAGGCCUACCACCUUCCUUAAAACUACUUCAUCUUUCCUUAAACUCGCAAUCUCUAUAUAUGCAGCCCAUAGACUCCUUCUAAGAUCCUAUGUGUGUGAAUCCCUUUUUGUUCUAUGGCAACCCUUCUCUUCCUAAAAUUUGUGUAUCAUUUCUCUACUUCCCUUAUGUGUCUUUAAAUUCAAAGAAAGUCUUAUGGCAGCCACCUUCCAAAGAGAGUCCUCUUGAUUUUAAAGUCUCCAAAACCGUGAAUAAUUUCCAUCAAUAAUUCAUGGUAGCCCUCUUAAUCUAAAGUUUCUAAAAUAGUGAUCUAAAGAAUGUCCACAGUAUCAAACUCUCCAUGGUAGCCGUCCUCAAGAAAUCCCACCUCAAUCUAAAAUCUCCUCCUCUCAAAGUCUCACCAUGCCAUCUACCUCUUUAUAGAAUCCUCUCAAUUUUAAAUUCUUUCAUAUGGUGGUUGCACCCUCAAAGGAAAAUUCCAUGUCGUGAACUAUGUCUAAGAUGAAGUCUAUUACAAUACCAAUUAAAAAAAUACAGGAACCAAAUACACUUGACAUGGCACUUAACCAAUGUUUGAACCAAAUACAGGAACUUGACAUGACAGUUGAAUCAACAAGCAUGUAGAGAACUCAUUUCAAGCACUUUGAGAUAUAACAUACACUCAUUUUCUUUUUUUAAGAGCUCCAUUGUAUCAUGUAUUUCUUUCAACAUGUGCUUAGCCAUCAAAUAAGACGUGAAUGAAUAUAUCCUUAUUUAUCGCAUCGGUUUUUAUAAAUCAUUAUGAUCACAUUUUAUACCCUAGUAAAGGUUUUGUGUAUGUUAUUCUAAUAUGAUAUUUAUGAUUAUGAUUUGAUACAAAGUAAAAGGACGCCAUUGAAAAAACACUACCUCAAAGUUCAAAGGCACGAGACAAAAAGAAGACCAUCUAUUAUCACAUCCUAGUGUUAUGCUCAUCAUCGGCGACUUAUAUUUCACAUAAGGUAUUGUAAUAUAAAGGUGAGAAUACUUCUUAAAACAAGAUUUUGAAGCAUUUUUAAAAUAGAUGAAACAUGCUUAAUUCAAUAAACUAAAUGGGAGAAUGCAACAAGACACGCAAGUGAUAAACUAUACUAAUCCAUGCCAAAAUUUGGCCAAUGAGUAGAAAUCACACGCAAGUGAUAAACUAGUCAAGGAAGGCCCAAUAGGAGAGUUGGAACAUGCAUAAGAUGUUUCUUCUCAUGGUCAAUGAGUAGAAGAUGAUACAGACACUACACUUCUAGGUGAGGACGGCCCAUUUAGAUUUCUAUAUGAGAAUCUCAACGGUAGAUUCCAUCUUAUGACAUCCCAAAGAUAUUAAUUAUUAAUCAAGACAAUGUUUUAAUAUAAUUCUUACAUCUGUGAAAAUAACAAUAUUAAUAUAAAAAAAUAUUGAAACUUAUAAAUUAAAAUAUAGAUUUCUUAUAUUUCUAAAAAUCACAUUCUAUAAAAUUUAAGUUAUUAAAUUUUUUUUAUUACCACAUUUUAAUUAGAUUUUAAAACAUUUUCCAUAUAUGCUAUUAAAAAUUCUUAUAUUUUAUAUAAAAAUUAGUACUUUUUAUUAUCAUGAAACCAAUCAUAUCAAGUAACAAUUUUAAUACUAUAUACAUAUAACUUCUUAUAGAUUUUUCCAGCAUUUCCUAAAAUUUUCAUUUCAUCAAGACUGGUGUUCACAAUUUUUGAUAUUUUUACAAAAUAUCCCACAUCAAAUAAUAAUAUAGGAUUCCAAACUUUCAAAUCAUAUGCUACAACCAUAUUCUCAUCCCACCAACUCUUUUAACUUAACUUUCUUUGUGAAAAUGAAAAAUCACUUAUUCAGCGAUCUCAUUGCCCAACUCUUUUUCUGUUAACAAGAGAAACAAAGUUUAUAAUACAAGCAAGAAUCAAGUCUAUAGUUUUACCUAAUGGAUUAAGGAGUCACCAUUUGAAAAUCAAGUUUUUAUUUGGUUCAUGGUUAGAUGCUAGAUCCCAAAAUGUUAAUACGCAAGAAGCCCUCAGAUCUCAUACACGGUAAGGCUCAUGGUUUUCAUUAAAGGCCAGUCCACACCUUCAAAAUAAUAAUAAUAAUAAUAAUAAUUGUCAUAACACAGAGGCUGAUGAAGAAGGAGGAGAAGGGGGAGGCUAUUAAUGAAAACCAUAUAACCACACAUGAGUUUUCCAUCAUUGGGCAUUUGCUCACCACAAUGAAAAAGAUAACCACAAUUUCGGAUAUCCACCUGUGAUUCACUAGUGAUAUAAUGAGUUCAUCAAUCUAUACCAAUUGACCUUUUUAAAUAAACCCAUUCGAUGAUUCGAUUUCUUGAAAGGCAACAAGCUGAGGCAAAAAGCUUCUUGCUUAGCAGAUUGUCUGAAGUUCCAACUUGCAUAUAAACUCAUGCUCUUCAAAAAAGCAAACAUAGAUCUUUCUCAAAAGGCAAUAUUAAAAAACAAAGAAGUAAAAAUUCAGUGGGAGUGGUAAUGGCAUAUGAAAAUUUAAAACCAUAACUUUCAUCACAUGCUAAAACUGGGUUGAUCUAAAAGGAAAUGUAAGAGAAGUGAAGGACAAAAAAAAGAAAGAACCAGACAAUAACAUCUAUUGAUAGCCCUCAGAUCUCAUAGCUAUUAUUAGUCAUCGUCAGUUAUAACAAACUGAUUCUUAUUAAGAGCCUCCACAUCUUCAACCACAGUAGAAAAGAGAGAUAGAGAGAGAGAGAGAGAGAGAAAGAGAGAGGUGGUGGUGGUGAGGCUGAUGGUGAGGAUGAGAGUAAAGGCUCCUAAUAAAAAUCAAUUUAAACCCUCCACAAAAUAAGUUUUCCAUCAUCGGGCAGAUGUUCAUAUUGAUAUUAUUGUCGACUGAAAAAUCAGGAUACACCUAUAAUAAGAGAGGACUGCAUGCAAGAAAACAGUUCAUUUAUAAAAAAUAAAAAUAAAAAAACAGAAAGAAAGAUAAAAGAUGAAAUAAGAAAACCAAUUCAUAAACAAACAAAAUGUGUAAUUAUACUAAAACAAUUUGAGCUUAAAGCAGAAGUACAACAGGAAAAAUACAACAGCAGCUUAAACCUAUAAUCAGUUUGGGUGGGUCAGAUGUGUUCAGCUAAAUAAUGUUUCAAUGAUUAAAUGAAAUAGGACCAUAUGAAAAAUUAUGCAGUAUCUGCCCACCAAUAACCAAAAGAAAUAAACAAGGGCAAAUCCCAAAUAAAUAAAUUUUCAAAUCUCAAACCAUCAAUCUAAAUUAAGCUAUAGAAGUAAUAAUGCCAAGAAGAACAUCAACAGAAUACUAGAAAAAUCCAAGGAAUAAAUAAUGGAUAGGAUUAAAUGGAUGCAAUAUCCUCAAGAAAUGGACACCUGUAAAUACCACAAAAGCAAAUAGCUUACAAUUGGUCUAUAUCUUGUCAUAGCUGAGCACAUCUAUAAGAUAUACACACCACCAAAAUAACUUUAUUCUACUACAUAAUGUUGUUUAAUCAUAACAUCAACUUAUUCAAAUAUGCAAAAGGCAGUUAGUACAGUUCACCUGCUGAUCUUCAAGACUUAAACCAACCAGCACUGUACCCAUAUGAGAUAAGAAACACUCCAUUCACAUAAGCUUCCAGCACUAGUACCAUAGAAAAAUAAUACACAGUGCUAACUUCAACAUCACCCCCAUAGGCAUCGAAAUCUCAGAAAAUAACAAGACAAAACCAUUGGAUAUAACAAUAGUCUCCAAAACAAGUCUCAACUGGGCGAGUAUCAGUGAGAACUUCAUUCCCAAGAUUAAGAGCCAUUCAAAAUACUAGAAAAGCUCAAACUUCAUAUGAGACAAAAUGGGUUUUUUUUUUUUUUUUGCAAAUCAAGUUUCCAUUCGAAAAACAUAGAUAUGAAGAGUACAUUUACAUGGUUCUCAUUAACCUAAAAAGAUUGUCAACAGUUCAAUGUCUUAGAUGCCAUAUUACAAUAUAUAAACAAGUAAAGCCCUCAGAUCUCAUAGCUACCAAUAUUCAUAGAAGGUAAAGCUUGUAAUUUUCAUUAGAAGCCAAUCCACAACUUGAUAAUAAUAAGAAUGCUAACAGCAGUAGUAAGAAGAAGAAGAAGAAGAAGAAGAAGAAGAAGAUGAUGAUGAUGAUGAUGAGGGAGGCUCCUAGUGAAAACCACAGCAACCACACCAAAUAUGAGAAUUCCAUCAUAGGGCAGAUGGCCAAGAUUCAAAAGCUUUGUCAUCCAUGGUUUAUAGAAUGAAAUAGUCCAGAUAAUAAGAACAUAAAAGAGAGCAUAAUCACAAAGGAAGGAAUGGUAAGAAGAGGUCAGAAGAGCCAAAGAAGAAACGAGCAUAAAGACUCCCGCAGAAACCAUAAACAAAGCUGCUUCGGAAAAACACAUUCAGAAUUACAAGGAAGCAGAUUUCACAAUCAAUAGUAAUUGUAACAGAAGUUCUCAUUUGUUUAAAAGACAAUAAUAACACACGUUGUGCAUUAUGGGAUCAAAGAAAAGAUCAAGAAGCAACCCAUGUUAAGGACUUGCCUGACUUUUAGGGGAAAAAAAAAGGUGAUCAUAGGUACAACAAAGCACUUAAAACAGUGUAGACAAACUUGAUAACGCAACUUGGCCCCUCAAAUUUGUUGAAAAAUGGUGAGACUGAGGUUCCGACUAGUGCGUUUUUUAAUGAACCACACUGACCUCUCAAAAGGCUAUCUUAAUUAUAUAAUUCUGUGAAUAAAAAGGUCAAAACAUGCACAUAGUUAAAUUGAUCUCAAAUAAUAGCAGGAUAACAAAAUAAAGCACCCAUCACGUGUGUGACCCAUAGGAUGAAAAUCCGUUGCACCAAGUAAUUUCACUAGUCUUAACUCAGGUCGUAAGGGUAUAUUUCCAAUCAUUCAAAAAGUCAGCAACUUAAUUCAUGUAAUUGAAACUCCACCAGUAACCUAAUGACACCAAAAUAACAAUGUGAUAGUUGUCUGAUAUUUAAACCAAUCGAAAUCCAUUCUGAGGCAGUAGCAAUGAUAGAAGAAAACAUUUCAAUAGUUAUACCUAAACCCGAUUCAAAAACCAAAACACUUGAUCAAAUGAAACAAAAAAGAAAGGACGCAAUGGAUAGAAAAUCGCAAAAAAAAAAAAAAAACAUAGACAAAAAUAUACUAAAAAAGCCCUCAGAUCUCAUAGCUAUCAUAAGUCAUUGUUAGUAAAACAAACCGGUUUUUAUUAAGAGCCUUUCCACAUCUUUAUCCAUACUAAAGAGAAUGUGAAAGAUUGAGGGAGGAAGAGGAGAGAUAGAGAGAGAGAGAGAGAGAGAGAGAAAGCGAGAGAGAGAGAGAGAGAAGACAGAUUAAGAAGAAUAUGGCGAGGAUGAUAGUCAAGGCUCCUAACAAAAACGACUGCAACCCCCUCCAUAGAAUGAGUUUUCCAUCAUUGGGCAGAUGAAUUGAAAUAAUAACUAAUAAUCAGAACACCAGCCAUGAAUGCUUGUAAGAAACAAUUAUAAGUUUAAAAGAUUAAUUAAAAAAUUAAAAUAUAUAUAUAUCAUAAAAGAAAACAUAAUGAUCAAAACAAAUUGAAGACCACAAUAUUCUCCCUAUCUGAAGAUAAAUGAAACAAGACAUCAAGAUUUGUUUUCUUGGUUAAUAUUCAAAUAUGUUGACAAAACCAACAAAAACUCCAUACCAAAAAAGUAAUUGCAACAUUUAAAGGCAAAUGAUAUGAGAAGGGUGGUCAGAUACAGCUUUCUAGGCUAGCAUUUCCAUCAAUAUUACUCAGAGCCCAGUGCAUAUCAUCAUUCGUUCUAAAAAAUCAACAAAAGAAAGGAUAAAAAUGUCCAUUGAAUAAAACUCUAUUAUUCAAGAAAAAUCUUGCAACUGCAAGAUCCAUAAAAUCGACACCGCAUUUGAUGAAAAUCCUCAGAUCUCAUGCCUUUGAACAAACAAUCUAGGGUUUUGUACUCAAUCGCAUUCAUCAAAACCCUUUUCUAUAUAACACAGUAAUUCAUAAUAAAAACUAACAAACAACGUAGCCAUCCGACAGCUCCGCAGCCACCGUCGCAGGAGUCGUCAGCCCGGAGUGCGAGCAGAGGUAGAUGGGAUCAUGGGAAGAGGUAUAGAAUGACGUACGUAGGGUUUUAUCGCCCAUUUAUAGGCAGAGUUGAAUUCCUAAAAGAACCCUGGAUUUAGUCGUAAAUAUCUAGGUUCACCCGAUCUGGGCUUUUCUUUGGGUUUGGGCUUAUUUGAUAUAUCGAAAGUGAUGGGCCAGGCUAAGCUUUCGUGGGUUGUAUU